UGUUAAAAAUUUUGUUCAUUUAUACUAUUAAAAACUAGUGUAGCUGAAGAAUAACCAAACAGUUCUAUAUGGCACGCCACAUAUUCCUCAUUCUAAUGUAUAGUGAUAAGUUUUUAACAAUAGAAAUGGAUAAAAUUUCUAACA
rfam:Gossypium arboreum cultivar AKA8401 contig_119663_1, whole genome shotgun sequence.